UCAAGUGGUAGAAAGUUAUGAAAAAACUAUAAUCUCAAACAUAGAUGUCUAAGUGCUGAAUCAAAUAUGAAUGCAAAACACAUAAGUGUCACUUUGAUACAAGCUCCUAUUCUGCUUUUUGCAUCACGUAUUUAUUUUCAUAUGUAUUUAUUUAUUUGCACUGACUUUUGACUAUGAUCAGAUUAAGAUUCUAUGAUUGACUUUAUAAUGUAUACAUAGUAAUGAUUGCCAAAUCUGAAUAAUACACUAAUGUAGGCCUGAUUUAUUGACAACGGAGCAUGAUUUGUGGAAUAUUAUACAUGUAGGUAAUUCAGAGAGAUGCUAUCAAUAGUGAUCAAAUUUUGUGUCCUGUAAAUGACUGAAUAUUUAAAAAAAUUCACAACUUCAUACCUUUAAACAUAUCAUUUCACUGACUUGCUCCAUUGAUUUUCCUUGUAAUAACAACUUGAUACUAUUCAUAAUAGAAUGUUACUUUGAAGUGAUACCGUUCCCUGCAGAUCUCCAUAACAUUUCUAAAUUCUAAACUGCUUCACUGAAAUUAUCACUUUCGUUAUGUUAAGUCAUCUCUGUGUGGUGACUUCUUGACACCAUUCUCACUACCGUUCUAAAAUUAGUUUACUGGAAAAUAGUGGAAACUAGUUUAGCGUUUAAUGAGAACAGUCAAAGUGGUCUUGGAAGCGAUCUUCCAAACCGGUUCAGAAAACCACCUCGCGAUGUAGUUUUGAAGAUCGCUUUGCCUCGUUAAACUGGUUUUAGCGUAAGUGAGGACACAACCAUUCUUCGGGAAGCGAUCUUUGCACAUUUUGAGCGCGCUACUCCACACAUUGUGUGGAAUGCAUACGAUGCAGUUUCAAAUUUCGCGCGAAACAUGUCACCCCACUGAGAGUGUUCCCAUAGCAACAAGACCGCUUUACAUGAAGUGGUUUUGAAAACUACUUUCAGGUGAUAAAAUGCAUGGGAAUGCUAGCAAAGCGAGCUUCUGAACCGGUUUCCAGUAAACCUGUUUUAGAAAGUAUAAUGAGAACGGUGUCCUUGAUUAUAACCUGGAGAAGUACUGAAGAGAUCUCCAUUAUAUCCCUUUUUGGUGAAAGCAAUCAGUUUGUUUGGGCAGACAUAAAAGUGACUGGCAAUUUACAUAUGUUACGGUCAUGAGUAAGAUCUGCACUGAAGAUGUAGCCUUGGAAGCUGAUACCUUUGGAAAACAACCAUUGAAAGGAGAAGAAAAAAGUUUGGCUUUAUAUGCAAAUUUCUCUUUCGCCAUUUUUUCACCGAGGAACCACCAAGCGUGGGCCAACAAAAAUAUGGUCAGGUGAAGGUUUGAAUUUAUUGAUGAAAAUAUGAAUGCCUAAUAGGCAAUAGCACUAACACCUUAUUAAUUUUGGCUGUCAUAAGUGAUUUGGGACAUUCCCCUUGCUCUUUUUGUUAGACCAAACUGACUGUUCCUUAAUGGUAUAACUGAUAUUAAAAAUUAUUUGCCUUUUUACCCCUUUCUAUCUCACAGCAUCGUUAAGUAGAACAGCUGAAGAAGGAGCUUGUUAUGUGAUAAGAAGAAUUUUGAACCAAAGUCUGCAUGGAGCCCAAGUUUACAGUAGGAGGAGCACUUACCGUGGACCCUAUAUGGAGAGCUUGCUGGGGGAGCUUGUAGCCAACGAUAGUUUACAUGGAGCCUGCUAGGAAGGAGCUCCUUGUAUCAAGCUUAUUAUACUGUGCCUACACAGGGUUUGUAACAGAAGGAGCUUACAGUCCCUACAGUCCACAAUUUAGCACAUUGUGAAGGAGAGCGCCCAUGGUAUACAUGUAUAAUAUAAUACAGUACAUUACAGAGGGAGGCACUACCUUGCAAAAUCACCUUGUAGGACAUAGUUUACAUUGAGUUUGUUUUGAAAUGAAAACUGUCUAUAAGUAGGUUCACCGUUUACUGUUUCAAACUAGAAAGAAAUCAUGGUAAUAUUUCAAGAGCAGAUGCAUGUGGGUCUAGUAAAAAAAUUAUAAAAAAUUGAAUGUUUCUAUUAGGAUCGAAUAUCACUAUCAGUACCUAAAGUAAAAUUGUUUCCAUUGUAUUUUAGGCCAUACAUGAAAAGAAAAGAAAAACUUGAUCUGGCAAAUUGAGAUAUAUUUCUUCACAGUAUGAUUAAAACCUUCAUGUUUGGCAUACUAUAUGGACCUAAUUAUAGUCAUUCAAAUUUCAUGUCAAAAAUCAAAUUGUAAUUUUUUUAUUAUGGUUUUAAUAGCAUAAUGUAUUCAACUCAUAUUUCAUAUUGGUGCUGGGAUUCACAUAUCUGAAACUCUUGUAGAAGUAUUUUAUUCUAUUUAUGAAAAGUCACAAAAAUGUUUUCACGGCAAUUUAUAUUUUUUUGUUUUACUACACACGUUAUGUACCUCAAAAAAUGACUAUAAGAUAAGAAAAGCCAAACAUACCCAAAAGAUACACUUGAAAUUGAUGUUACAUGUAUGUCUUCAAUAUUAAAAGUGGGGACAUUGAUCUGUUGAAUUGAAAUCAGUCCAUUUGUAUAUGUACUAACAUAAUUUGGGUUUGUAGAAAUAUUGUACAGUUUUGCUUAAUACCUUUGAAUGUACAAGAACAAAUAUAUAGUGUAUGCCUUUUAUUCAAAAUGAUAUUAAAGUACAAUAAAUCAUUAAUAUCUACAGUCUAAGGGGGUGGGUUAGAUUAAAAACAUAUAAUGGAUUAGAAAAUUGAACUGGGGUAGCUAGAUAAUCAUAAGAAAAUAUGAUUCAACAAGGAGUUACUUUAGUUUCAUGUAUGACCCUUUGGAAGGCAAGUGAAAAUUUUGUGUUCGUGUUAGUGGCUAAGUUGACUAUGAUUAUCUAAGUAUUUUAUAUUUAUUUUUUACCAAAAAUGUUGAUAAUUAUUUUCUUUUAAUUCUAGGCAUUGAUAGUUCUGGAAGUUAGGAAAUGAAACAAAGUAUGAAGUGAUGUGCUUGAUUUUUUUUCUCAUAAAGUCACAAAAAAUGAGAGUUUGUGCAUCUGUCUAUUCUGCAAUAAGACUCAAAAGUUCUUACAUAUUGAAUUAGCCCAUAUUUGGUGUUUAUUUUCAAAGAUGGACCAUUAAAAACUAAAUAAUACCAAGUUUAGUAUUGCAGCAGAUAAAUAUGUGUGUUGUUGAUGUGUAUACUUGAAGGUUCACAGUAUGAGUCACUUUACUUGGUCUUUUUUUAUUCUUGUGCUUAUGGCAUUGUGUUGUAUCAGGCCUAUUUUGUAUUGUGCUAUAUCAGUCAAUGUUGUGACAUAUUGAGGUUAUUUAUCCUAGCCAACCACACUGUGCCUAAUAUUUUUUAUUUUUUUAAUAUUAGCAGAAUCCGUCUUAUAAUUUGUUAAGUGAUUUUUAGUAAUGGUAAUCUUGUUUUGAAAGAGGAAAUUAAAAUCCAGCAUAGUAUACAUUUAUUGUGCAAUAUAUAGUUAGUCCAGGUAAUUUUUCUCCUUUCCUUAGCUUUGAACUUUAUAUUUAUAGAAUAUUUAAAAUGAAGAUUAUUAUCAAAGGUAUGAAGAUUGUUGAAUUUAAUUUGAUUUAUGAAUUAUUUAUUGUUGAACUCCAGUGUAUUGAUGACUAAAUAUUGGGUUAAACUGUGAGACUUACUUUACAUGUAUAUGGGUAUGUAUGGGUUGAUGACAUGAUAACAAUAAUAAUAUAGAACUAAUUAGAAUCUUGUAUCCAAUAACUUAUUCAUUUUGUGUUGAUAAUAAUCCCCCCCCCCCCGGAUGUUUAUUGAUUAAUUUGAAGAUUUACACUGUGAACAUGCUUUUUGAAAAUGUUUAAAACUUAAUGCAACAUGUCUAAUAUUGAAAAGACAGGUUGUUCAAUUCAUGUUAUGAAUUGUUAAUGUGUUUUCUCUGUCAGUCUUUGAAAUGAACGUGGAAUGAUUCUUUAAAGGAGUUUCAACUUUACAUUAUGCAAAGAACAUUUCAGUCUUUUUUUAAACUUAAACCACAGGUAAAGAUCGUAGAACGGGGCAUUAGUAUCACACUUUGAAGGGGGCAAUAUCUUUGUCUAAACGUAUAUUGACAUUAUUCAUCCAUAUUAGGCCUACUUGACUCCAAUUCAUUUAGUGUAUCUUUUAUGAGUCUGUAAAUUUAUAAUGUUAAGUCAUAGCUGUUAUAUUGUCAAUAUUAGUUUGUGCUGCAAGAAAUAUUUAUUUAUAUACUCUUUAUAAAUGUUUUGCUUUAAUAGAUGUGAAUAUUUAUACUAGACUUCAUACAAUAUAUAAUUCUCCAUCAGAAUAGGUUUCUUCAUAAUAUUCAAUAUUAAAGGUAAAAGACAGUAGUUGCAUCAUACAAUCCGUCGGCGGUCUUCCGAACCGUCACACAUACGACGGUGCAAACCCAUUUCAGAGAAAAUCGACUUCAAAGUUUACUAUAAUUUUCACACUUAGUUCCCCAGCCUUACAACAUAUUCAUUGCUAGAAAAGUACAUGGUUGGAAAGACCAAGACAAUUGCUUGACAUUGGUAUCUUUAUUUUUACACAAAACUAAGAAUCCGAGAAAAUAUCGCAAAAGAGCUACGUGCUUGUAAUUUCGGUUUGAGCGGUUUAGAUUUUCCCUGUACAAAAACGCCAUAGGAAAUACAACAACCCUGACCGCGAUUUCAAUGCACGCGGUCAGUCAAAACGUUGUAUCGCUUUUCACGCGCAAAGUCAAUGCAGUUCCCGGCCCAGUGCCGAUAUGACAGUUUGGCUGACUGCGCGCAUUGAAAUCGCGGUCAGUCAAAACGUCGUAUCGCUCUGUUACAGUACACGUUUCCAAUGGGAUUUACGCAUUUUAUAAAAAAAUUGUAUGGCAUCGCCGUGAAAAUCCUCUCAUAUCUCAGAAAAUAAAAUAAAUUGCUGCCUAGAAAUUUAGUUAUGAAUAGAGCAGGACUUUUUUUUUAGACCAAAAUUGACUGAUACGACGGUUCGGAUGACCGCCGACGAAUUAUUUCAUGAGAAAGUCUUAAAUCAAGGUUAAUUGUCAAAAUGUUUUCAUAGAUCUAGAUCUGGUGCAAAAAUGUAACCUUAUCUUUGUACAAUCAUGAAAUCUUAGCUCAAAAUUGAUCAUUCUGAUGAUCACUAACACAGUGUGGGACAGUGUAUUAAUAUUGCUUCAAAAAUACUCAACAUUUGAUUGAAUUCCAUGCUUUUGCUCAUUUUUCAGCAAUUACACAUUUUCUUCCAGAGCUAUUUGGCACAUAUUUGUUAGUUAUACAUACAAACACUUUGGUGGUAAUUUCAUUGGAUUCUGUUCGAACUCAUUUACCACAACAGGUAUUUAUCUUUAAGAGAUCAAAGUUCUCAAUUGCAAUUUUAUAUGUAAAUGUAUUUUUAUUACAAUAGUUACUAUUUGUAUUCAGCUUAUUAAAAAGUGACAUCCAAUAAUUGUUUUUAUCAUUCCACUGACUUGAUUCCUGGAAAUCAAUUAACUUUGAUGGUCACAUAGAAUACAGAUAUGUACACUUAAUAUUUAGUUGGUUCUUGUAUUGGGAGACUGAAAAAAAUAUGAUUCAGUAGCAUUUACUAAUAGGUUUAGAUUAACAACUGAAAUAAUGGAGAAAUAUAUAGAGUUAUGAAGGUGAUAAAGUUUUAUACUUCUUUGAGAGCUGUGAUGUUUAAUUAUUAUUCCAAUAGUUUUCAAACACUCAUUAUGAAUGGGAUCUCAGUGAUAUGUACUCAUUGCCUAUAUAAUGUAUGAAUUUGUUUUGUUUUGAAUUGACUGAUUUUUACAUUUUAUUAUGCCGAAGUGAUUUUUUAUGAAAGCUAUUAUGUUGGAUUUCUAAAUCAUUUUUAAAUGCACUGGAUAUAUGGAGAAUUGCUGAGAUUGGCAAUUUGUUCAUGGUAUUUUUGCUGUUCACAAUUUAUUAUGAAUAAACAGCUUUCAUUAAUCAAUAUACA